rnacentral:rRNA from 1 species
UAGUCUCUAAGGAGUAAAGAUUUAUCGCUUUGGGAGCGGUCUGCGCAGUAUCAGCUAGUUGGUAGGGUAAAAGCCUACCAAGGCUAUGACGCUUAGGGGAGGUGAGAGCCUGACCCCCACCGAUGGGACUGAGACACGGCCCAUACACCUACGGGUGGCUGCAGUCGAGAAUCUUCCGCAAUGGACGAAAGUCUGACGGAGCGACGCCGCGUGAUGGAUGAAGUGGUUCGCCAUGUAAACAUCUUUUAUGAGCUACUAAAUUUUGAAGAGCUCAUGAAUAAGGAGUUGCUAAACUCGUGCCAGCAGCAGCGGUAAUACGAGUGCUCCAAGCGUUAUCCGGAAUUAUUGGGCGUAAAGGGUGUGUAGGUUGUCUUGUUAGUCAGGUGUUAAAACUCUCCGCUUAACGGAGAAGGGGCAUUUGAAACGGCAAGACUUGAAGAUGCGAGAGGUGAACAGAACUCAUGGUGUAGGGGUGAAAUCCGUUGAUAUCAUGGGGAAUACCAAAUGCGAAGGCAGUUCACUGGCGCACUCUUGACACUGAAACACGAAA